rnacentral:rRNA from 1 species
CCUACGGGACGCAGCAGUGGGGAAUAUUGCACAAUGGGGGAAACCCUGAUGCAGCAACGCCGCGUGAAGGAAGACGGUUUUCGGAUUGUAAACUUCUUUUCUUAGUGAAGAAGCAAGUGACGGUAGCUAAGGAAUAAGCAUCGACUAACUACGUGCCAGCAGCCGCGGUAAUACGUAGGGGGCAAGCGUUAUCCGGAUUUACCGGGUGUAAAGGGGGCGCAGACGGCGAUGCAAGCCAGGAGUGAAAGCCCGGGGCCCAACCCCGGGACUGCUCUUGGAACUGCGUGGCUGGAGUGCAGGAGGGG